CCAAUAGCGUAUAUUAAAGUUGUUGCAGUUAAAAAGCUCGUAGUUGAAUUUCGGGGUCAGCAAGUUGGUCGUGCCACCGGUAUGUACUGGCUUUGCUGAUUCCUCCUUCUUGUAGAACCGUAAUGCCAUUAAUUUGGUGUUGCGGGGAAACAGGACUGUUACUUUGAAAAAAUUAGAGUGUUUAAAGCAGGCUAACGCUUGAAUACAUUAGCAUGGAAUAAUGAAAUAGGACGAGCGAUCCUAUUUUGUUGGUUUCUAGGAUUGACGUAAUGAUUAAUAGGGAUAGUUGGGGGCAUUAGUAUUCAAUUGUCAGAGGUGAAAUUCUUGGAUUUAUUGAAGACUAACUACUGCGAAAGCAUUUGCCAAGGAUGUUUUCAUUAAUCAAGAACGAAAGUUAGGGGAUCGAAGACGAUCAGAUACCGUCGUAGUCUUAACCAUAAACUAUGCCGACUAGGGAUCGGAUGAUGUUAAUUUUAUAAUGACUCAUUCGGCGCCUUACG
rnacentral:rRNA from 1 species